rnacentral:rRNA from 1 species
AUUGAACGCUGGCGGCAGGCCUAACACAUGCAAGUCGAGCGGAUGAAGGGAGCUUGCUCCUGGAUUCAGCAGCGGACGGGUGAGUAAUGCCUAGGAAUCUGCCUGGUAGUGGGGGAUAACGUCCGGAAACGGGCGCUAAUACCGCAUCCGUCCUGAGGGAGAAAGUGGGGGAUCUUCGGACCUCACGCUAUCAGAUGAGCCUAGGUCGGAUUAGCUAGUUGGUGGGGUAAAGGCCUACCAAGGCGACGAUCCGUAACUGGUCUGAGAGGAUGAUCAGUCACACUGGAACUGAGACACGGUCCAGACUCCUACGGGAGGCAGCAGUGGGGAAUAUUGGACAUUGGGCGAAAGCCUGAUCCAGCCAUGCCGCGUGUGUGAAGAAGGUCUUCGGAUUGUAAAGCACUUUAAGUUGGGAGGAAGGGCAGUAAGUUAAUACCUUGCUGUUUUGACGUUACCAACAGAAUAAGCACCGGCUAACUUCGUG